GAUAGAACGCUGGCGGCGUGCCUAACACAUGCAAGUCGAGCGAUUCUCCUCGGAGAAGAGCGGCGGACGGGUGAGUAACGCGUGGGUAACCUGCCCUGUAACACACGGAUAACAUACCGAAAGGUAUGCUAAUACGAGAUAAUAUGCUUUUAUCCCGCAUGGUAGAAGUAUCAAAGCUCCGGCGGUACAGGAUGGACCCGCGUCUGAUUAGCUAGUUGGUAAGGUAACGGCUUACCAAGGCGACGAUCAGUAGCCGACCUGAGAGGGUGAUCGGCCACAUUGGAACUGAGACACGGUCCAAACUCCUACGGGAGGCAGCAGUGGGGAAUAUUGCACAAUGGGCGAAAGCCUGAUGCAGCAACGCCGCGUGAGCGAUGAAGGCCUUCGGGUCGUAAAGCUCUGUCCUCAAGGAAGAUAAUGACGGUACUUGAGGAGGAAGCCCCGGCUAACUACGUG
rnacentral:rRNA from 1 species